rnacentral:lncRNA from 1 species
AAAUUCUUGAAGUUUACUUGCCCUAAGACUGUAUAAGCUAUUAAUGUCACUUGGCAACUGCAAUCCAUGGGUCAGUUAUGUGUUAUGUGUGUAAAAAAAUUCUACGUUGAAUUUACUGGCACUGAAUUUAGAAAAACAAUCUGGUGUAGUUUCAAAGGAUUAAGUUCAGUAAGAGCCAAAUAAAACUUGAAUGCUUUGAAGGAUUUCAAUGAUAUUUGCUAAAAACUUGUGUAUCCACAACCAGAGAGUGUGUCCCAAAUAGUAUUGGAGUUCGUAUAUUGAAGGUCAAUACUGUCAUUUUGUUAGCUCUACUUCCAGUACCUCAGUUUGAAAAGGGAAGUAAUUCCAGAAAAUAUUUUCUAUCCUUGAGGGAUAUUAAUUCCAUUUUGAAAUAUUAAUGCACCAAGAGAUAAUUUAGUUAGGUACUGUUUGAAGAGUGAGUCAGUAAUCCAAUGACACAAACAACUUUUUCCAAGGUUCUCUUAAGAUUGAAAAGCUUUACCUUUGCUAAUUUAAUUUUU